UGGGGAAUAUUGCACAAUGGGCGAAAGCCUGAUGCAGCAACGCCGCGUGCGGGAAGAAGGCCCUAGGGUUGUAAACCGCUUUCAGCAGGGAAGAAAAUGACGGUACCUGCAGAAGAAGGUGCGGCCAACUACGUGCCAGCAGCCGCGGUGACACGUAGGCACCAAGCGUUGUCCGGAUUUAUUGGGCGUAAAGAGCUCGUAGGCGGUUCAGUAAGUCGGGUGUGAAAACUCUGGGCUCAACCCAGAGACGCCACCCGAUACUGCUGUGACUUGAGUACGGUAGGGGAGUGGGGAAUUCCUGGUGUAGCGGUGAAAUGCGCAGAUAUCAGGAGGAACACCAGUGGCGAAGGCGCCACUCUGGGCCGUAACUGACGCUGAGGAGCGAAAGCGUGGGGAGCAAACAGGAUUAGAUACCCAAGUAGUCCCUGAGCGGGCUGGCAAGGCGCAU
rnacentral:rRNA from 1 species